GUAGGUGGCAAGCGUUGUCCGGAAUUAUUGGGCGUAAAGCGCGCGCAGGCGGUCCUUUAAGUCUGAUGUGAAAGCCCACGGCUCAACCGUGGAGGGUCAUUGGAACCUGGGGGACUUGAGUACAGAAGAGGAAAGCGGAAUUCCAAGCGUAGCGGUGAAAUGCGUAGAGAUUUGGAGGAACACCAGUGGCGAAGGCGGCUUUCUGGUCUGUAACUGACGCUGAGGCGCGAAAGCGUGGGGAGCAAACAGGGAUUAGAUACCCUGGUAGUCCACGCCGUAAACGAUGAGUGCUAAGUGUUAGGGGGUUUCCCGCCCCUUAGUGCUGCAGCUAACGCAUUAAGCACUCCGCCUGGGGAGUACGCCGCAAGGCUG
rnacentral:rRNA from 1 species